UACGUAGGGGGCAAGCGUUGUCCGGAAUUAUUGGGCGUAAAGAGCGUGUAGGCGGUCCGGUAAGUCAGCUGUGAAAGUCAAGGGCUCAACCCUUGAAUGCCGGUUGAUACUGUCGGGCUAGAGUCCGGAAGAGGCGAGUGGAAUUCCCCGGUGUAGCGGUGAAAUGCGCAGAUAUCGGGAGGAACACCAAUGGCGAAGGCAGCCCGCUGGGACGGUACUGACGCUGAGACGCGAAAGCGUGGGGAGCAAACAGG
rnacentral:rRNA from 1 species